GCCGGGGUGGCGAAACAGGCAGACGCAUGGGACUUAAAAUCCCUUGAGCAUCAAGCUCGUGCGGGUUCGAAUCCCGCCCCCGGCA
rnacentral:tRNA from 1 species